rnacentral:sRNA from 1 species
GUCAGGUAUAGUGGCGCAUUCCUGUAAUUCCAGUGACUCCGGAGGCUGAGUCAGGAGGAUUGCAAGUUUGAGACCAGCCUCAGCAGUGAGGCCCUAAGCAACUUAGUGAGAUCCUAUCUCAA